GUGACGUUGGCUGAAGUGGGAAUGGCUCUGGGUUGUGAUUCCAGAAUAUGCGGGUUCGAUCCCCGUACGUCACCCCA
rnacentral:tRNA from 12 species